GAUGAACGCUGGCGGCGUGCUUAACACAUGCAAGUCGAACGGGAAACCUUUUAAUGAAGCUUCGGCAGAUUUAGCUGGUUUCUAGUGGCGGACGGGUGAGUAACGCGUGGGUAACCUGCCUUAUACAGGGGGAUAACAGUCAGAAAUGACUGCUAAUACCGCAUAAGCGCACAGGACCGCAUGGUCCGGUGUGAAAAACUCCGGUGGUAUAAGAUGGACCCGCGUUGGAUUAGCUUGUUGGUGGGGUAACGGCUCACCAAGGCGACGAUCCAUAGCCGGCCUGUGAGGGUGAGCGGCCACAUUGGGACUGAGACACGGCCCAGACUCCUACGGGAGGCAGCAGUGGGGAAUAUUGCACAAUGGGGGAAACCCUGAUGCAGCGACGCCGCGUGAAGGAAGAAGUAUCUCGGGAUGUAAACUUCUAUCAGCAGGGAAGAUAGUGACGGUACCUGACUAAGAAGCCCCGGCUAACUACGUG
rnacentral:rRNA from 1 species